CUGUCGGAACCUGGACACUGGGUGCUCAGGAGACCCAGUGUGUGUUCAGGGACCAGACAUCCCCCACUACAUGGGAGAUUAACAUCAGUGGAAGGAGACCCACUCAUGGCACCUAGUGAAUGAGGCAGCACAUUGGCACAGGAGGGCCAUCUCCUUCAUCCUUGACACCUGGCUGGACCAAUAUCCCGAGGACUUUUUCCAGCCCCCAGAGUUUCCUUGCCUGAAGGUGCUGCUGGCAUACAUGGGGCUCAAUAUGCCAGGCUCAGACCUGGAGCGCCAUGCCCAGCUUCUGCUCUCACAGCUGCAACACCUGGAGCCCACGGAGCCAGUGGCUGGGGCACCAGCCCCACAGCAAGACCCUGAACCACAGCAAGAACUCGCCCCAGCAACCACUGUGGUGCCCGCUGCAGCUUCAGAGCCCAAGCUGGCUGAACCCAUCACUGCUGCCGGAGGUCAGCAGUCAGAGAGAGCAGUGAUACCACUUGCCAUGGCGGGGCCAGUGCAGGUGGUAGUCACAGCUCUAAUUCAUUCUCCUGAGCUGGAAGAGCCACCUGAAACUUUGCCUGUCCCGGAGGUCAAGCAGGGUCCUGCCCCUGCUCCUGGGGUUGCUGCCGGGCCUGAUCAACCCCCUGCCUCAGUGGAGGAACCAGCCCUGGUCCCAGAGCAGCAGCUUGUGAUGGCUGCAGCCCCAGAGGCUGCCUUCCUCUUCCCUGUCGUUGCACUCUUCAUCAUUCUUGUGUGUUUAAUACACCUGUAUAGUGUCUUAAUAUAUUUUGUUCCUUAAAUAAAGUAGAAUUUGAGUU